rnacentral:rRNA from 1 species
GACGAACGCUGGCGGCGUGCCUAAUGCAUGCAAGUUGAGCGAUGAAGAUUGGUGCUUGCACCAAUUUGAAGAGCAGCGAACGGGUGAGUAACGCGUGGGGAAUCUACCUUUGAGCGGGGGACAACAUUUGGAAACGAAUGCUAAUACCGCAUAACAACUUUAAACAUAAGUUUUAAGUUUGAAAGAUGCAAUUGCAUCACUCAAAGAUGAUCCCGCGUUGUAUUAGCUAGUUGGUGAGGUAAAGGCUCACCAAGGCGAUGAUACAUAGCCGACCUGAGAGGGUGAUCGGCCACAUUGGGACUGAGACACGGCCCAAACUCCUACGGGAGGCAGCAGUAGGGAAUCUUCGGCAAUGGACGAAAGUCUGACCGAGCAACGCCGCGUGAGUGAAGAAGGUUUUCGGAUCGUAAAACUCUGUUGGUAGAGAAGAACGUUGGUGAGAGUGGAAAGCUCAUCAAGUGACGGUAACUACCCAGAAAGGGACGGCUAACUACGUG